rnacentral:lncRNA from 1 species
UUUUGUUUAAAAAUGCAGGCCAAUUGUCAAAAUUGUGACCAAAGUGCCUUACUAUGACCAGAUGGUCACUUUCAAAAACUUAUUGCUACAAAAGUCUUUUUGUGAAUAGUCAGGGUGCUUGCACAUGUAUGGAUCUGUAUAUUUGUAGCACGUGUAUUGAAGAAUAUUGGGAGUUUUAGCAUUGAGAAGCUUGGAGAAAUGUGGGAUUACAGGUAUGAGCCACCGUACCAGGCCAUGAGGUUUAUUUUAAAUUUGCCCAAUAUAAUCUUGCCUUUUGAAUAGUACAUGAUUUGGGGAAAUAUUUAUUAACCUCU